CCCUUUGUGAACGUACCUCUGUUGCUUUGGCGGCUCCGGCCGCCAAAGGACCUCCAAACUCCAGUCAGUAAACGCAGACGUCUGAUAAACAAGUUAAUAAACUAAAACUUUCAACAACGGAUCUCUUGGUUCUGGCAUCGAUGAAGAACGCAGCGAAAUGCGAUAAGUAAUGUGAAUUGCAGAAUUCAGUGAAUCAUCGAAUCUUUGAACGCACAUUGCGCCCCUUGGUAUUCCGGGGGGCAUGCCUGUUCGAGCGUCAUUACAACCCUCAAGCUCUGCUUGGAAUUGGGCACCGUCCUCACUGCGGACGCGCCUCAAAGACCUCGGCGGUGGCUGUUCAGCCCUCAAGCGUAGUAGAAUACACCUCGCUUUGGAGUGGUUGGCSUCGCCCGCCGGACGAACC
rnacentral:rRNA from 1 species